rnacentral:lncRNA from 1 species
UUUCAAACACCAAGGAACUCACCAGACAGGUCAGACAGGACACCUACACUGAAACAAUGGGAAAUGGAGGGUUGUUGAACUUAUAAAAAUACAUUUCAUAUAUUCUACAAAAUUUAUUUGUAUUUCUCAUCUGAACAUGUUCAAAUCAUGUAAAGUGUAUUAAAGAUUGAACUAUUUAAAUUCCACAAUUCUUAGUCAUGUUAACAAAAAGAAAAUAGUUAUGUUUUAUUAGUCUGUAGUUGGAAACUCCACCUCUUGGGGGCACUCUACUGGACAGAGAACGGCUGUGCUGCUGUGGAAUCUUUACCUUCCUUCCUGAAUCUCUGCUGAGAAGAUUUUGCCACAAUUUGAAUGGUGAAGGAGAAAAAGCCAAAUCUUCAGAUUUGCAACCAGCAACCAGCACCCACAUCUACGCAAUAUUUGCUGCUCAUCUACAAGAACUAUAAGCUCUCUGCUGUGAUUAUGCACAUGUACCUAUAUGUUACAGUAUGUUACAUAUCUCUGCACCCUAUUCUCACUACUCACAUUUCAUUGUACCAUAUCGGUACUGCACUGUUCUGUCUGUUAAAUUGUCUUUUGUAUUUUUUGUAUUUAUUGUAGUGUUAUAGUUUUUAUGUUGCACAUUCGAUACACGUUUGCACUUUGUUAUCUACUGUAAUUGUUGUUCCAUGUUGCACCAUGAUUCUGGAGGAACGUAAUUUUGUUACACUGUGUACCUGUACUCAGAUGUAAUGACAAUAAAAGCCUCUUGACUUGACUUAAAAAAU